CCUACGGGAGGCUGCAGUGAGGAAUAUUGGUCAAUGGGCGGGAGUCUGAACCAGCCAAGUCGCGUGAGGGAAGACGGUCCUAUGGAUUGUAAACCUCUUUAGGCGGGGAGCAAUGCCGGGCACGCGUGCCCGGAUGGAGAGUACCCGCAGAAUAAGCAUCGGCUAACUCCGUGCCAGCAGCCGCGGUAAUACGGAGGAUGCGAGCGUUAUCCGGAUUCAUUGGGUUUAAGGGGUGCGUAGGCGGAUUUUUAAGUCAGCGGUAAAAUGUCCGGGCUCAACCCGGGCCGGCCGUUGAAACUGGGGAUCUUGAGUGGGCGAGAAGUAUGCGGAAUGCGUGGUGUAGCGGUGGAAUGCAUAGAUAUCACGCAGAACUCCGAUUGCGAAGGCAGCAUACCGGCGCCCGACUGACGCUGAGGCACGAAAGCGUGGGGAUCGAACAGGAUUAGAUACCCGAGUAGUC
rnacentral:rRNA from 1 species